GAUCGACGUGCUUCCUGCUUUCCAGAGCAAAAACGUUCUCCUGGUUUCAAUAAAGUGCGAUCCAGAAUUUCUUCAUUAUCAGGGGAAAAACAGGAUUAAGGGGUUCAGAAGGGAAGUCACCCUAUACCUGGAGAAGUAGCAAUGCCACCAGUGCAAAAUGCUCAAGAGAGUGCGGGAAAGUGCACCUGACUGGUGCAGCUCCAGGUUCUAGAACUGUCCCACCUGCCCACCAGCUGUGCGUCUUGGCAGCCAGCCUCGCUCGCCUGAACUCUGAGGCUCAAUGUGAUACAGUCUGUUACAAAACUGGGGAUGGACUGUGCCCUUCCCAUCUCACCUGUGGGGAUUACUGGGGGCCCAGGAAAACCAGACACCUUCGGUGAGGUGCAAACCAGCGUCAUGUUGCUCUGCUGGUCCAGGGGGACAGGGCUGUUGUGGUACCACAGGGGCAGAGGUAGUCUUACAGACAAGUGGGAUGUAAGCUGCAUCUUUGAAGAAGGUAAAUACGGAAUUAAAGAGCAGUGCGGGCACGGAUCUCAAAGGCUUAAAAGCAAGAGCUGCAAAGAUACUUUUGCAGGACCAAAUAUCCUUCAAUGUCAUGUUUAUCAUUGCAAAUCCUGUGAGUGUGUGUGUGGGAUGGUAGAAAGGAGAGCUGGCACAAUUUUGCC